CGGCAAGAGCUCAAAUUUGAAAUCUGGCCCUAGUGGUCCGAGUUGUAAUUUGCAGAGGAUGCUUUUGGUGCGGUGCCUUCCGAGUUCCCUGGAACGGGACGCCAUAGAGGGUGAGAGCCCCGUACGGUUGGACACCUAGCCUCUAUAUAGCUCCUUCGAC
rnacentral:rRNA from 1 species